rnacentral:tRNA from 1 species
GCCGGUUUAGCUCAGUUGGUAGAGCAACUGAUUUGUAAUCAGUAGGUCGUCGGUUCGAAUCCGUCAACCGGCUCCA